GUACACUUUAUGGAAAUUACGCUCCAGAUAUGAAUUUAGCAUAUACAUACUCUGUAUUAGCUGGAGUACAAGAACUGGCGUCUCGAUCAAACUUCGCUGCUGGCUGUUCGGAUACUGUUUGUGACAACUAUAAUGGCACAGAAAUCCAACAAGCAGUUACAGGAGUGGAUAUGGUAUUCAUUGCAGUGGGCACAGGUGUAGCUAUCGAGGUAGAAGGUCAUGAUAGAACCAGUCUAGAAUUGCCAAAUUAUCAACCACAAUUAAUCAAGGAUGCAGUUUCAGGUGCGGGCAGUGCCCCUAUCGUCCUUCUGUUAUUUAAUGGAGGACCAGUCAACAUAACAUGGGCUGAUGAGAAUGAUGCUAUUGAUGCUAUAAUGGAAUGUUGGUUCCCAGCUCAAGAAACAGGAAUAGCUAUAAGGAAAGUUUUACUGAAUGAUGGUGCUGGUUCGGUUCCUGCUGCUAGAUUACCUUAUACAUGGUUAACGUCAGCCGACCAGCUUCCACCAAUGGCCGAUUAUUCUAUGAAAGGAAGAACUUAUAGAUAUUAUGAAGGAGAAUCACUUUAUCCAUUUGGUUAUGGAUUAUCCUACACUACCUUUAACUAUAAACAUAUGGAAUACAGUAGUGAAGUAUUGGCUGGUAUUAAUGUACAGGGAACAGUUAUUAUAGAAAAUACAGGAGAUUAUGAUGCAGAUGAGGUUGUUCAAGUCUACAUCUCCUGGAUAAAUGCAACACAAGAAACACCAAAUAUGCAACUGGUUGAUUUUGACAGAGUUUUUAUCAGGUCUCAUUCAACUAUGUCAUAUGAUUUUACCAUCCCACCAGAAAAUAUGGCCCUCUGGGUAGAUGAUAAAGGCUGGAUG